CUCAAGCAUCCAUGGCAGGUGGCCAAACAAUCUCAUCUCAAAAGCCUCCAAGGAAGGAGAGGCCACCACCUCUUGAGGGAGACCUUUCCACUGUCAAACAGCUCUUUCCCUUCCUGAUGUUCAGUUGGAAUCUCCUUCCUUGUAACUUGAAGCCAUGGGUUCGAAUCCUACCCUCCAGAGCAGGAGAAAACAACAUUGCUCCCUCUUCCGUGUGACAUCCCUUCAGAUAUUUGAAGAUGACUCCCCUAUCUCCUCUCAGACUCCUCUUUUCCGGGCUAAACAUACCCAGCUCCUUCAACCGUUCUUCAUCAGGCUUGGUUUCCAUAGUAACAUAGUAGAACAUCACACACACAUACAGUAUAUACACACACACCUAUUUCUGUUCCGGUGCUUGAAAGCCAGUGUCCUCAAAGGUCUAUCCAGGUGGAAUAGAAAAAACUGCAGCUUCCCCAAGCUUCCAUCUGCUCACCAUCGAUCACAGGUUAUAACGCUCAACUGGAGUAUUGUUAUCUUUCCAAGGGCAAGACCUGUGGAGUCCAUCAAUGGGAAGGGCAAGUAGCACACUUUUACAGGGUUGUUGCAAAGCAGAAGAGAUUUAAAAAUAUACCACCAGUUGCGCAUUCAAGGCAAAAACUAUAAUUUUAGCCCUGAAUCUACAACUUCAUAAUUCAUUUGGGAAAGUAGUUUCAGUGAAUGAAAAGGGAGUUUUGGUGUGCUAGUUUACAGGAUCAACAUAUACUGUGAGUCAUGGCACUUCAUUCCAGAGAAGUCUCAUUUGAGUCAGUGUGACUAAAGACAUUUCUUUCGCCAGAACUGCAAAUUUAAGCUGCAGUGUUGAGUUCAAUUAAUCUUGAAUUCUGAAGUAAAGGGGAAGUAUCUGCAACCACAGUGAACUGCAGCCAAGGCUAAAUGGGAGUGAUUGAUACAAUGAGGUCUAAAGUCGUUCCCUUGACUUAGAUUAUUGA